rnacentral:tRNA from 1 species
AGUAAGGUCAGCUAAAUUAAGCUCUUGGGCCCAUACCCCAGAUAUGUUGGUUAGAUUCCUUCCUUUACUA